AUGAGAUCUUCUUUCUGAUCUAGAUGAGCAUGGACACGUGGAAACUAUUUCCAACACCUGCAGUAUUUUGCUUUCUGUUACAAUGGAUUUCCCAGCAAAGGAGGAAGUAAUGAUCUAUUUCUCUAAGGGGCUGGAGUAACAGUGGAACAUUGGAACAUCAAACCCAGGAAUGGGAAAAUUUGUAUGAAAUUCCUACUAUCCUUCAUUACCCACGGCCACCAUCGGAAAGUGUUCUGGGUGAUCAAAAUCAUUGCGGUUGCCAAAUGGCAGGAAGCCCAGCUGAUACUUAAGGAGAUAAUAUUCCACCUC